rnacentral:rRNA from 1 species
AUUGAACGCUGGCGGCAUGCCUUACACAUGCAAGUCGAACGGCAGCACGGGUGCUUGCACCUGGUGGCGAGUGGCGAACGGGUGAGUAAUACAUCGGAACGUACCUUAUCGUGGGGGAUAACGCAGCGAAAGUUGUGCUAAUACCGCAUACGCCCUGAGGGGGAAAGCGGGGGAUCGAAAGACCUCGCGCGAUUAGAGCGGCCGAUGCCUGAUUAGCUUGUUGGUGGGGUAAAAGCCCACCAAGGCGACGAUCAGUAGCUGGUCUGAGAGGACGAUCAGCCACACUGGGACUAAGACACGGCCCAGACUCCUACGGGAGGCAGCAGUGGGGAAUUUUGGACAAUGGGGGCAACCCUGAUCCAGCAAUGCCGCGUGAGUGAAGAAGGCCUUCGGGUUGUAAAGCUCUUUUGUCAGGGAAGAAACACCGGCUCUAACACAGUCCGGGAAUGACGGUACCUGAAGAAUAAGCACCGGCUAACUACGUGCCAGCCGCCGCAGUAA